CCGAUACUUCUGUCGCUUCGGUCAAAAGUCGUCGAAUUCCAUUUUGUCGCUUUGGCCUUAAUGGACCAAGAAUUAUUUUGUCGCUUUGACCUCAAUAAUUCUUCUAUCUUGUCGCUUUGGCAUUGAUAGAUUUGGAGAUCAUUUUGUCGUUCAUUUUGUCGCUUUGGCCUUAAUGAUCUCGACCCACCUUGUCGCUUUGGCCUUAGUGGGGUAACCG
rnacentral:lncRNA from 1 species